rnacentral:rRNA from 1 species
AGCGAACGCUGGCGGCAGGCCUAACACAUGCAAGUCGAGCGGCCGUAGCAAUACGGCAGCGGCAGACGGGAUAGUAACACGUGGGAACGCGCCCUUCGGUUCGGAAUAACUCAGGGAAACUUGAGCUAAUACCGGAUACGCCCUAACGGGGAAAGAUUUAUUGCCGAAGGAACGGCCCGCGUCCGAUUAGCUAGUUGGUGAGGUAAUGGCUCACCAAGGCGACGAUCGGUAGCUGGCUGAGAGGAUGACCAGCAUCACUGGGACUGAGACACGGCCCAGACUCCUAC